AAGAAUAAGCACCAGACUGAAAGUUAAGUACCGUGGUCGAUGGUUUGGGUUAAAACCGUCAAGGUGGUGCUCCAGCAUGACCGCCGUCCAGUAACUGAAAGAAGUAAAAAAAAUACGAGGUGCACCAAUAAUUUAUUAUGCUUUAUUUGUUCCCACAAAGUAAAAAUGAUUGAAGACUACCAACAUGAAGCUCCGUUCUUUAAUCUCAAAUUCUUUUUGUAUCACGGAGUAGAAAAUUUUCUCGUCUUUUCUGCAAUUAGCAGAAAUAUUACCUUAAACUUUUUGUUGCACAAAUCAGCUAUAUAUCCAUGCAACAUUUCAUUAUCCUUAACUGGGGAAAGCAGCUUUAUAUAUCAAUCUACCUUUUGGUGAAGAAUAUCAUGUUUAAAGCUAUUUUUUGGUGAGUUAUGUCAGGUUUAUUGAGGCAACGUAACUUGCAAAAAAUACCAAUUCUAGUUUUGUUUGAUUCUUUAAUAUCAUUACUGGAAUAACUAUAAAAUUAAAUUUCGCAGUUAAAGGGUUAAAAUUGUCUGUUUGAAAUGGCGAAUUCAAUUACAUCUGUGACUCUGUAACCACUUUUUCUAUUGAUUAUCACGCUAAAAAUGUCGGUGACAGUUCUAAUUCGCAAAGGAGAUUUUACCCCCCCCCCCCCACCAACCCCACCCGCCCCGAAACAGUCGAGUACACCUAAGGGAUGCUUCCCAGGCUUAGACAUUAUCGUACGCGUGGUCGACAGUUUAAAUAUUUCGCUUUUUAAUCACAGCUUAGAAGGGAGUUUCACUGAGCGGAACUUUGGGUAAGGUUUAUUCUGCCAUAGUCCAGGGGUUGACCCAGAUCUUAGGAGUGAAUUUGGAGACUUAGAAAUUAUGUGGUGUCUGUCGGAUUGGCAUUCCUACAGCUUCUGAGAUAGUGGACCUAACCCAUUGCUUUCCCGUCACACACACACACACACGACAUCCAAUUGAUAAGUGGUUCGAGUUUCACGAGUAGACUUGUUUUACACGUUUUCUAAAUUGUACGCGCACAAACAACACAACGCCUAUAUACAUACAUUGUGUUUGUGUUUAUACCUACCUACCUACCUACCUACCUACCUACCUACCUACCUACCUACCUACCUACCUACCAACCUACCGACCGACCGACCGACCUACCUACUACAUAUUGUGCAUAUAUGUAUAUAUAUAUGUGUGCAUAUAUAUACAUAUAUAUAUAUAUAUAUAUAUAUAUAUAUGUAAUAAUAAAUCUCUGAGCAAGCUAUAAAAUAAACAGUAGCUGUACAACAUCGAGAAGUAUAUUUGCCACCUAAAUGUAGGUGACCCAGAGGGGACGAUGCUACUGUAGCUUGUAGUCCCAGGAAGACAUCUCCUCUAGCUGGCUAUUGACACACUUUCUGUGCUUUAUCAGUAUUUGCAAAGGGAAGUAUAUAUAUAUAUAUAUAUAUAUAUAUAUAUAUAUAUAUAUAUAUAUAUAAACAUAUAUGUAUAUAUAUAUAUAUAUAUAUAUAUAUAUAUAUAUAUAUAUAUAUAUAUAUAUAUAUAUGUGUGUGUGUGUGUGUGUGUGUGUGUGUGUGUGUGUAUGUGUCUGUGUAUGAAUAUUCCCUUCGUAUUUGUAGUAAAAACAAACUUGAAACAUGUUUACCAGAAAGUUCUUGAAUUACUCAUCCUAUUGGUGUUUGUAUACUUAUAUAUUUCAUAUGUAUAUUUAUAUAUUUUUGUCCCCUUACAAUAAAAAAUCAAAAUUUAACAAAAAAAAAACAAACAAAACAUUCACGUAAGUUUGAUUUUUAAAUAUAGGUUAUCGAUAGGAAGAUGGUUUCAUUGAGAUUGUCUUCAGGUUCCAUAAUUAAUUAUAUUGUAGUCUUUGAGAUUUAACCUGUCACCCGAUUUAGCAUCACUAACUGGUCAGAGAAUGCACUUUGUGAAAUGCAUUCUAGUUGAAGGACAUGGACCAGAUUUCGGGUAUGAAGAUAAAUUGCUCUCAUCACUCUCUCCAGAAACCUUAAAACGGGUCGUAAGCCUGGCCCUUUCUUCUAGCUAAAACCGUUUGAGGUUUAACUGCAAUUAACUGCAGGCUCUGUUGUUGUGGGUUGGAGGAAUUAGCACUGUGUUAUCUGUGGCUUAGAUUUCUCCCCCACCGUCUUAUAUAAGAAAACGCAUUCGUUAACCUGAUUUUAGAUACCCUUAAAAACACAAGAUCUUGGGUUUGCUCAAUAGGGUACAGUUGCGUUUAAAAAAUACCACCACCACCACCACCACCACCACCACCACCACCACAACAACAACAACAACAACAACAACAACAGCAAAAACUAUUUUUAUUUCUAGUGAAUUUUAAUGCCGAGUCGCAUAUUAGUACAUUUUCAUCCUAGGUGAAACAGCGUUUCAAAUAUGGUGUUUGAUUUUUUUUCUGUUUCAGGCAAUCAUUGGUAGCAAAACAGACACAUAAACCCACCAUCACCUCUACAUAUCAUUAUAUAUAUAUAUAUAUAUAUAUAUAUAUAUAUAUAUAUAUAUAUAAACAUGCGGCUAUUGCCAGAAUCGCAGUGUUUAGUUGACUAGCAACUGUUUAUUGAGCUUUCAUUUUUAAUAUAAUGAACACUAUAUCAAUAUAGCAAUUAUUAGGAUUCAUUUGCUGCAGGACUGGUUGCUGUACAUUAGCAGUGAGGGCGACUGAGUUCAUUUUAACCAAGUAAAAACUUUAGCGAAGCAGUAGCAACGUAAAAUCGAAUUACAUUCAGAAAAGUUUCUCAACGUCAACUGUGAUGAAUAGGAUCUCCAUGUGGUUCCUAUUUUCAGCCAGGUCGACUGAGUCAUGAAAUAUUUAACGACCUCUGUCUGGGUCACAGUAUUUGCAUCCGUGACAAGACACUUGUUGUUCACGAAAUAUUUUGGAGCCGGUAACCAAUCGAUACAACCAAUUUCUGCCAAUUGCUUGCUGUGUUUCUCUUUUUUUUUCUGAUUAACGCUAUUGUGUGACUAAAUGCUGUUGUUGGAUUCUCUCGUCGCUUCGACGAAUGAAGGUUCAGUGUUCCUAGUUCGAUGCUUUGCUGCUUUGGGUUCAUGUGGGAAUUCAGACCGAUCUAGGAUUUACAGAUCUGUCUGCGAUAUUAUUCGAGCAUCGAUGAUAUAUUAUGAAGUUAUAUGAAUCUUUAAAAGAAUAACACCGAAAAGUGACCUGCUCAUGGUAUACUGCGAAGAUGAAAUAGAUUUUCGGGCUAGGAUGGAGUUGUGUUCCGUAACGAUACACACACACACACACACACACACACACACACACACACACACACACACACACACACACACACACACACACACACACACAUAUAUAUAUAUAGCAGGUAGACACACAAACACAUACACACAUAUGUGUGUAUGUGUGCAUGUAUGUAUAUAGAUUUGUGUAAAGAUGGGGGAAUAUGGUGCAAGUAUAUAGAUAGACACAAACAUGUAUGCAUACAAUUCCUCCAUUAUAUAUAUUUUACACAUUCACAUGCACACUCACAUAUAUAGGCGCAGGCGUGGCUGUGUGGUAAGAAGUUUGCUUCUCAAGCACAUAGUUCCAGGUUCAGUCCCACUGUGUGGUACCUUGGGCAUGUGUCUUCUGCUAUAGCCUCGGACCGACCAAAGCCUUGUGAGUGGAUUUGGUGGACGGAAACUGAAUGAAACCCAUCGUAUACAUAUAUGUAUAUACCUAUGCGUGUGUGUUUUGUGUCUGUGCUUCUCCCCCCAUCACUGCUUGACCACCGAUGUUGAUGUGUUUAUGUCCCCGUAACUUAGCGGUUCGGCAAAAAUGACUAAGUAUUAGGCUGAAAAAAUAAGUCUUAGGGUCGAUUUGUUCGUCUAAAACCCUUCACGGUAGUGCUCCAGCGUGACCGCAGUCUAGUAACUGAAACAAGUAAAAGAAUAAUAACGUAUUGGUGAGAUGUGAAGAAGACCCUACCUGGAGGUGUCAACCAACUCACCCUACCACCUUUACUUCUCGUAUAUUGAAUUCAACAUGACAUGAAUGAAGCAGAUGUGUUUUCUCUUCCCACAUCCAUUACUUCUAGCAAACGAUUUCAACUCAAAAAUAUCCCCCUUAUUUCGAGUUGAAAAUUUUCAAAAAAAAAAAAAAAAAAUGAAGUUAAGUAUAAAAAUAAGGUAUCACCUCGGUUACGUACUUUACUGAAAUGUUUGGUUAGUGACUUAACGACAUAUCGAACCUGACGUAUGGAGCCUGUUGGUCGUUUAUAGUUUGCGUUUUAUCUUUUACUUUUACAGUACGGUGAUGUGGUAAGUUUAGCAGAGAUAACAAUCCCUUAGAGUUCAAAUUGGUUAAUGAGAGCCCUAACCUUCGUCCUUUACGAUGCACAAGAAAAGAAAUAGAUAGAAGAAAUAUAGGGCAGUUUCUCGAAUUGGCGAAAAUCUGGUAAUUUAACCCCCUACUCAAGAGAGGAUCUAUAAUUUAUUUGUUACGAAGGAAUUAAGAAAAUAAGCUGUGGAUUCUUGUGAUUCAAGAAAGGAAUGCAAAAAUAAAAAGAACUUGGAAAUUUAAUUUCAAGAAAGACCAGAGGAAAACUGCUCGGUGGUUGCAUGAAAAACAGACACAUAACACAAACAUACUUAAUGUAGAGUGUGAAGAAAAUAUGAUUAGUACAAAAUACUCCGUAAUGAGGUAUGAAAUAACAAUAUUUUAAUAAUUAAUUCUGGUCAAGAAAGACAAGGGAGAUAACUCUGUGUUUACACCUACUUUAUUAUAGCGUAGCUUAGUUGCAGUUUUAAGAAUGCUUUAUAACCACAAGGAGUUCGUAAGCCAGAUAUAUUCAUCCCUGUUACCUUAUAAAAACGUUGCAUUAUAGUUUAAGUAUAGAAUGGUGUCGAGCUGGCAGAAUCGUUAGUGCACCGAACAAAAUGCUUAUCGUUAAUUCUUCCGGCUUUAUGAUCCGAGUUAAGAUUUCGCCGAAGUCUACUUUGUCUUUCGGGAUGGAUGAAAUAAAGCCAGUUGGAAUAAGUACCACCAGGAUCCAUGUUAUCGCGUAACUCCCUUCCCCAUAAUUCAAGCCCUUGUGCCUGCAAGAGAAAGAAAGCUUUACUUCUCAAUAGAGAAUAGCAAUCAAACCUGGGUAUGUUAUUUAUAAUACACAAGUGCAGAGAAAGAUUUCUUUCACAUCAGUUUAAUACGACAAACUAGAAUUGUUCGUAACUUUAGUGAAGUGUGAGUGAUUCUUAGAAACAAUGGAAACUGCGUCGCACUAUCGACUUGCUGGGAACCAAUUACUGCACUACAGUGACUGUUAGUUAUUUAGUACAACAACAACAAUACAAUAUUGUUUAUUAGCCACAAGUGCUCAUACAGACGUAUAAAAAACAUUAAAAAGAUGGGAUUAUAAAAUCAUCGGAGAGUGAAAGGGGGAGAGUUAUAUAUUUAAAAAAAAGACGGAGGAGUAAGGACGAUGUAAAAUGACCAUAUUAAAACUUGAUAACGAGUAAACAGCGCAUAAUAUUUAAUUAUACAGGAACUGAGUCAAGAUACAACAACUUGAACAAUGAAGUCCAAGCUGGGUCACUCACACAAACAUGGAUAGAAGCAUCCUCGCUUGUUCAGGUGUGAGCGUUUCACGAUUCUUUCUUCCUACCAUUAAUCACAUUGCAAAAAGAUACACCCGGAGGCUCUCUUAAGUAUUUUUGUAUUUUGCUUCUAGCGUCUUCUGGAUGUUUCUGAUUAAUGCUAUGAUAAAUUAUUGAUAUGGUUUUCACCAACUUACUGUUGUUUAUGUCUUUUGUAUAUCGUUACGAGAUUUUCUCCCCCCAACACAUCGUCUGCACAUGUAGGAACAUGUGUGUAGGAACAAAUUAUAAUAUGCAGUAGAAAUUUAUACAGGGUCAAGGGCUCACUAACUGACCGGAGUACGCCCAAAUGCAAGUAGCUUUGUGGACCAGAGACAAGACUUUUCGCUAAAUAUAUAAGCUAAAGGGGUUACUUUGUCAGUUUUAAUUCAACAGAACCAUCAUUAGCUGUCGCAUUUAAACGCGCCCCUAGCUUUCGUUAUUGCCACAUGUAUCUUGUUACUAUUUCCUGUUCCUGUAUUGCAUAAGUAUGCCCUUCCAUACGAAAGCUAAAAUACAGAUUGUUGGUUCAAUAUAGACUACUUUGGCCAUGUAUGUUAUCAUGACUCUGAAAUUUCUUGACAGCACAACCAUGCGAAACUUUCUCACGAAAAGCAAAGAGCAUUUUAUCUGAUGAUCAAUUGCAGCAGAACUGUUCAACUUCCUUUGAGGUAUCUCCGCUCAUUAGCAAAAAAAAAACAUAUUUUCUGAAGAGCUCCCGGCUAACUCCCAUCAUGCGAGUUGUCUUAUAUAAUCAGAGUUGAUCCACGGAUGCCCUCCGGCGCUGCGUGGUUAAUAUAUGUUAUCGCGAGGGAUAUGGUUCAAUAGUCAAAAAUUAUGUUAGGUAUUUGCUUCCUGGUUGUAGUCUGAGGUAGAGGUGGAUCAGCAUAACUACUCACAUGAACAUUUCUGGUGUUGGCUGAUAACUGAGGAGGCUUUAGCAUCGAUAACCCAGAUGCCAUCUAGCGUUUAACCAAUAACAAAAAUGCUGGUAUGAAGACUGGUAGAACCAAAUUGAUUUAUUGUAGACAGGGGGCUCUGAGAACUGUAUUUAAGAAUAGACGAGGCUAUGGAAUACUCAACCACUUGCAAGUUAAUCUAACGAGUUGGUAAUUUAGGUGAUCGAAUAAUUUAACGGUCAUCGUCAAAACCGACAGCUUUUUCAAAUCGCACAUACAUACAUACAUGCACACACACACACACACACACACACACACACACACACACACACACACACACACACACACACACACACACACACACACACACAAGGGAACAAGAAAUGUAAAGAACUUCAUUAGCUUACAGCUGUUUCCGCUGUAAGACGCAAUGUAGUCAUAACUGGGUGCUUGCUCCGAUGAGGCUAUAAAGUGAUGCACAAGAACGUAGCUAUGUGUGCAUUGCCUUUUAUAGCAGAAACACCCUUUUAUAGCAGAAACAACUGUAAGGUAAUGAAGUUAAUUCCAUAAUUUCGUAUUCCUUUGUAAUUUGUUUAAUUACAUAUCACGCUCUGUAUCCAAAAAAUGCAUUUUUCUGCAACAUAUGCAUAUUGAGUUCUAACACCAAGUUAUCUGUAUAGCUAUGCCUAAGCAGAAUAUAUAUAUAUAUAUAUAUAUAUAUAUAUAUAUAUAUAUAUAUAUAUAUACACACAUAUUUCUUUUUUUUUUGGAAGAGUGGAUCUCGAAGGACAGAAAGCUAUAAACAAAAACAUGCAAAAAUUGGGUUGAAAAACCUUUUCGGAAACAAAAAGCUGAAGAUUACCCGUGGAUCUUGAACCUGCAUCUCCCGCAUGUAUGACAGGUGUUCAACCAUUGAAUCAAGACAAGCCUUCAUAUUUCUCUGUCUAUUUGAGAAUCUAUUUUCUUACUAAUGAGAAUCGUAGUUUGUUGAUGUUAUAAGAAUUUCACUGAAUGUGAAAUGAUUCUGUUUUUGAAAUAGCGGAUCUCAAGGCACAAAAGCGUGUAAAUAUUGGUUGAAGAAGUCCUCCUGGCACCCAUCGAAUUUUUCAACCCAAUAUAUGCAUGGUGUUAUUUAUAGUUUAAUGUAUUUUGAGAUUCACUUUUCCAAAUUAUCAAUAAAAACAAAAAUUUCACUUUCUCCUGAAAUUUAAAUUCCUAAAACAACAAUAUAUAUAUAUAUGUAUGUAUGUAUGUAUGUAUGUAUGUAUGUAUGUAUGUAUGUAUGUAUGUAUGUAUGUAUGUAUGUAUAUGUAUGUAUGUAUAUAUAUAUAUAUAUAUAUAUAUACAUAUAUAUAAAUGAAUAAAGAGAGUCAAGAAGAAGGAGUAUGUUUAUUCUAAGGGUGAAAGAGCUUUAUUUUGUACACUAAUACGUACCUAAUGGAAUACACCUUAAAUAUAUGCAUAUAUAUAUAAUUGUUAAAGAGGACAACAAACAAAGGCGAGGCAAUCAUCUCAUAUUCCAAUAAUAAUAAUAAUGCAUAUGAAUUGAGAUGUUUGCCUUGCCUUAAUGUUUGUUGUCCUCUUUCAACAAUUGUAUAUCUGCUGCACUGGAAAUCUGCAAUAGCACCAUGACUACCGUCUCAGCUAUAACCUUGGAAGCCCUAGUAAUCCGUUACAGCACUUACCUAGCGUUCCUAAUCGUUUAGAUUACCUGUGAUCUAAACCCCAUACUUUGUGCGUAUAAAAAAAAAAAUAUAUAUAUGUAUAUUUCUUUCUUUCUUUUUCUUUCUUUCUUUCUUUCUUUUUUUCUUUCUUUCUUUCUUUCUUUCUUUCUUUUUUUCUUUCUUUCUUUCUUUCUUUUUUUCUUUCUUUCUUUCUUUCUUAUCUCCAUUUCUGCAUCUCUUUCUCCCAUUCCUCUCAGUCGUUCUACCUUUCUCGCUCAUGUUACAUUCAUACAAAAAAGCAGAAAACAACCCCCCCCCAAACCCCUAAAAUACAAAAACAAACACCAAGACCAAAGUUUAUCGGCCUAAAAUGAGAAAUUUAUGAUAAAUACCUCACAUUCAGGUAUAUAUAUAUAUAUAUAUAUAUAUAUAUAUAUAUAUAGUUGGAAUUCACAAAAAAACAACAACAACCAAGAAACAAAACAAAAGACGAAGAUGGGUGUGUAAACAACAAACAGAUGUAUUAGUUUAACGCUCGGGAAGUAAGAAAGUCUUUUACGUUUCGAGCCUACGCUCUUCAACAGAAUGGAACAGAGAAAUAUACAGGGAGAGAAAAUAGAAAAAGUUUUAGUGGCUAGCGAUCAAGAUAUAUAUAUAUAUAUAUAUAUAUAUAUAUAUAUAUAUAUAUAUAUAUAUAUAUAUGCGUGUGUGUGUGUGUGUGUGCCUAUCUAUAUAUGUAUGUGUGUAUAAAUAUAUAUAUAUAUAUAUACAUAUAUAUAUAUAUAGUACAUAUAAAUAUAUGCCUCUAUCUAUCUAUCUACCUAUUAUCUAUCAACCUCUCCCUCUCUCUCUACACACACGCGUACACACACAUGCACGCACACAUAUAUACACUAAAACACUGAAAGUAGACAGUAGAACAUCGCGGUUUUAAACCUUAAAUCUUGUGAGAAUAGAUUAACAAGCAAAAUUAUAAAUUCACUUCAAACAUAUGUUAUCGAAAAUUGGUUUGGACAAUUGCCAAGAAUUUACUUGAUUUUCUUGUAGGUUUCUUCGAUAUCUUCUUAAAUAUAGAGUGUUAACGCUAGAUAUUAAAGCAAAGUGACUAAAGAAAGCCAGCAGUUAGAUAUAUAUAUCCUCAACAUUUAUUCUGCAUUCCUUAUAAACCUAUCUUAUCUUUGUAAGCUUUGUAAGAGUCUGUUUUUACAUAAAAUAAAAUAAAAAAUAAUGAUUUCUAAUUUUGGUGCAAUGCCACACAUUUACAUUGUGGAGUGAAAAAUGCUGUCUUGAUUGGAACUUGUUUCCACUGCCAUGGAACGACGAACCAACUUCUACGUGGAAUUCUAAUUUAAUUAUCUUCGUAGAUGCAAUGUUUUACAGUAGAGGUUCUUCGGCAGUCGAACACUAGCACCUUCCCUUUGAAAACUAUUGGGGAAAUUCUUUGCAAUCUGUCCCAAAUCAUUGAGAAAACAAAUGAUUUGGGGCUUAUAUACUUCUUUGUUCUUCGCCAUGGCCCCGGGCAAGUUUUUAUUAAACAUGGCUAGUUGAUCUCUCAACCUUUUUCAAUUCUCACAGCUGGCCCCACUCCGAAAAACUCAUCUUGGUAGGAAUAUUAAACCCCACUGAAGGCUCCGAACUGGCAGAACCGUUAGCACGCCGGGCAAAAUGCUUAAUGUUUAAAGUUCUGCGUUCAAAUUCUGCCGAAGUCAACUGUACCUUUCAUUCUUUCAGGGUCGAUAGAAUAAAUAGCAGUCGAGCACCGGGUUCGAUGUAAACAACUUACCCCUCCCCGAUAUUGCUGACCUUGUGCAAAAUGUGCAACCAGUAUUGUAUCUCUUCCACCCCAGUA
rnacentral:lncRNA from 1 species